AUGGGGCGCGGCAAGAUAGUGAUCCGGCGGAUCGACAACUCCACGAGCCGGCAGGUGACGUUCUCGAAGCGGCGGAACGGGAUCUUCAAGAAGGCCAAGGAGCUGGGUAUUCUCUGCGAUGCCGAGGUCGGUCUCGUCAUCUUCUCCAGCACCGGCCGCCUCUAUGAGUACGCCAGCUCCAGCAUGAAGUCAGUGAUAGAUCGAUAUGGACGAGCCAAGGAGGAGCAGCAACUUGUUGCAAACCCCAACUCGGAGCUUAAGUUCUGGCAAAGGGAGGCAGCAAGCUUGAGACAACAACUGCACAACUUGCAAGAAAAUCAUCGGCAGUUGAUGGGACAAGAUCUUUCUGGAAUGGGUGUCAAGGAACUACAGACUCUAGAAAAUCAACUGGAAAUAAGCCUGCGUUGCAUCCGGACAAAAAAGGACCAAAUCUUAAUUGAUGAGAUUCAUGAACUGAAUCACAAGGGGAGUCUUGUCCACCAAGAAAACAUGGAAUUAUACAAAAAGAUUAACCUAAUUCGUCAAGAAAAUGCUGAGUUACACAAAAAGCUCUCUGAGACGGAGGCAGCGACUGAAGUUAACCGAGAUUCAAGAACCCCAUACAAUUUUGCAGUUGUUGAAGAUGCCAAUGUUUCUGUUAAUCUUGAACUCAAUUCCCCGCAGCAACAAAAUGAUGUUCAGCAUACUGCGCCCCCUAAACUAGGAUUGCAACUACAUCCAUGA
rnacentral:rRNA from 1 species